CCAUGAAACUCUCCAGGCAGGAGGAGGGCAGCCUCUGCCUAGACCAUAGACUGGCCGAGACAGAGCUUGGAAAGCCAGGAUACACUUUUCCUGAAGCCUCUUAAUUUUUCCCAUCCCUCCCUGAUUGAAAACACCAUUUAUCCCAUUACAGCAUGUGGAAAGAGAGGGGAGAGAAGCAGACAGAUCUGAACUCAGGAUAAAAAUUACUUUAUGGGGUUAUUAUUUUCAUCCAUAACAGAUGGCCAUCUUCAGGUCGUUGUAGCUGAUUCCACGGCAGACUCGGAGAAAUACAAAGUGCCGUCUUCAUGAUAUUUAUCGUGAGGGCUCCCCUGAGGAGACCCAUGUACCUCCAUGUAAUAACUGGAGAGCUGCCACUUGAGCAUUUUCUUGGAAAUGUCUGGACAUUUGCUAGAGACCAGUUACCCAUUAUUUCACCGGCUGCAUGUGAAGAAUUCCCCUCUCUCACUUACAACUGUGGUCGACGGCUGCUGCUUGCGAGGCACAGCGCCCGCACGAGCUCCUAAGUACCCGCCCCGGCCCCCUGCGCCAUCUUGGAUUGGGAGCGCUCGGUGAAAUUUGAAGAUGACCCAUCCUUCAAAGAGCACAAAAACACAACCGUUUGGGAUGCAAGUAGAUGCUCGAGUAGCAAAGGCUUUGAGAAGGCUACAGCACCCUAGCUGCUGACCUCAGCAAUCUGCUUAUUAUUACGCAGCUGCAUCCAUCUGUGGCGCUGCUGGCGGAGUAUCAUUUCCACUUUAUGUAAAGAAUGUGGACUCGGUGCUGUGUCUACUGAGCUAAUGAGUCAGAUUUGGACUAGUCCGUUAGCCGUGCCUACACAGGAAUGAGGUGAUUCCAGUCUACAGACAACUUCCAGGGAUUUGGAUUAAAAAAAAAAACAAUUAUAAUAACUUGACUCACUCUCAGUGUAACCUCGUCAGAAAGAGACAGAGACCUUGUGAACAGAGAGAAGGGAACACCAUCCUUCUCAUGGCUCCAGUUGCAGUAGCUCAGGGAAGAACUAAAAGAGUUACUGGUCCUCUCCAGACACGGCAGAGAUGGGAAAUAAUCUAGAGGUCCCUCUAGUAUGUCUAGAAGAAAGGGUACCAGUCCGUUCACAAGGUCUACCCUCUGUGGCACUUACUGAAUGCUCUCUUUGUACCAGGCGUGCGUUCUUUCUCACCGGCUUCUCCAGAAAUGAGAGCAUAUAUACAUCAAGUAGCCAUAGGUGCACAGCCAGUGGCCCCCCGAAGAGCACAGAGCAGCCUGGUGUAAGGGAGAACACUAGGUCACAAACAGGAAUGAAAUACUGGACCUCACAGCAGGCUGGGGUCUUUUCUGUCCCCAACCAUCAAGAACACAUACAGAUAGUGAAAAUAAGCCUCUCCACCCACGUGCCCAGCCCCAUCCAGUUUUUUCCAGCCCAGCAUGGAUUCAGGCACUAGGGUAUUCUUAGAUGAAGUGUGGAAUUCCCCUUUAAGAAAAAGAAUACUGAAAGAA